GCUCUUCCCAAGAUGAGUUUUCCCUGAGGAUCGUGGCAGACCACCACGUUGAUAGGCUGGCGGUGUAAGUGUGGUAACACAUUCAGCUCACCAGUACUAAUCAUCCGAUUGGCUUGAUUCCU
rnacentral:rRNA from 1 species